rnacentral:tRNA from 1 species
CAGGCUGUUCCUAGUAGUUAGGGUUUUCACUUACACUGAAUUUUUUGUCGUGCAAUUCGAUGUUGUCUGA